AUUGAACGCUGGCGGCAGGCCUAACACAUGCAAGUCGAGCGAGCGGCGGACGGGUGAGUAAUGUAUGUGGACUGCCCCAUAGCGGGGGAUAACUACUGGCAACGGUAGCUAAUACCGCAUACUAUCGGAUAACCCAUAUAGGAUUCGCUAGUAGGUGGGGUAAUGGCUGACAUAGGGUACGAUCCCUAGCUGGUCUGAGAGGUUGAUCAGCAACACUGGGACUGAGACACGGCCCAGACGCCUACGGAGGCAGCAUUGGGGAAUAUUGCACAAUGGGCGCAAGCCUGAUGCAGCCAUGCCGCGUGUAUGAAGAAGGCCCUAGGGUUGUAAAGUACUUUCAGGCGGGAGGCGUUACCGACAGAAGAAGCACCGGCUAACUCCGUGCCAGCAGCCGCGGUAAUUC
rnacentral:rRNA from 1 species